rnacentral:tRNA from 1 species
UAGAUAUUAGUAAAACUAUUACAUAACUUUGUCAAAGUUAAAUUACAGGUUCAACCCCUGUAUAUCUUU